rnacentral:rRNA from 1 species
GCGGCGGUGCUAAACAUGCAAGUCGAACGAUGAAGCCGGAGCUUGCUCUGGUGGAUUAGUGGCGAACGGGUGAGUAACACGUGAGUAACCUACCCUUGACUCUGGGAUAAGCCCGGGAAACUGGGUCUAAUACCGGAUAUGAGUCAUCACCGCAUGGUGGUGGUUUGAAAGAUUUAUCGGUCUUGGAUGGACUCGCGGCCUAUCAGCUUGUUGGUGAGGUAAUGGCUCACCAAGGCGACGACGGGUAGCCGGCCUGAGAGGGUGACCGGCCACACUGGGACUGAGACACGGCCCAGACUCCUACGGGAGGCAGCAGUGGGGAAUAUUGCACAAUGGGCGGAAGCCUGAUGCAGCGACGCCGCGUGAGGGAUGACGGCCUUCGGGUUGUAAACCUCUUUCAGUAGGGAAGAAGCGAAAGUGACGGUACCUGCAGAAGAAGCACCGGCUAACUACGUGCCAGCAGCCGCGGUAAUACGUAGGGUGCGAGCGUUAUCCGGAAUUAUUGGGCGUAAAGAGCUCGUAGGCGGUUUGUCGCGUCUGUCGUGAAAGUCCGGGGCUUAACCCCGGAUCUGCGGUGGGUACGGGCAGACUAGAGUGCAGUAGGGGAGACUGGAAUUCCUGGUGUAGCGGUGGAAUGCGCAGAUAUCAGGAGGAACACCGAUGGCGAAGGCAGGUCUCUGGGCUGUAACUGACGCUGAGGAGCGAAAGCAUGGGGAGCGAACAGGAUUAGAUACCCUGGUAGUCCAUGCCGUAAACGUUGGGCACUA